rnacentral:rRNA from 1 species
UACGGAGGGUGCAAGCGUUUAUCCGGAUUCACUGGGUUUAAAGGGUGUGUAGGCGGGUAAGUAAGUCAGUGGUGAAAUCUCCAGGCUCAACCUGGAAACUGCCAUUGAUACUAUUUAUCUUGAAUAUCGUUGAGGUAGGCGGAAUAUGUCAUGUAGCGGUGAAAUGCUUAGAUAUGACAUAGAACACCGAUUGCGAAGGCAGCUUACUAAACGAUUAUUGACGCUGAGGCACGAAAGCGUGGGGAUCAAACAGG